CCUACGGGCUGCAGCAGUGGGGAAUAUUGGACAAUGGGCGAAAGCCUGAUCCAGCAAUGCCGCGUGAGUGAUGAAGGCCCUAGGGUUGUAAAGCUCUUUUACCCGGGAUGAUAAUGACAGUACCGGGAGAAUAAGCUCCGGCUAACUCCGUGCCAGCAGCCGUGGUAGUACGGAGGGAGCUAGCGUUGUUCGGAAUUACUGGGCGUAAAGCGCACGUAGGCGGCUUUGUAAGUUAGAGGUGAAAGCCUGGAGCUCAACUCCAGAACUGCCUUUGAUACUGCAUGGCUUGAAUCCAAGAGAGGUGAGUGGAAUUCCGAGUGUAGAGGUGAAAUUCGUAGAUAUUCGGAAGAACACCAGUGGCGAAGGCGGCUCACUGGCUUGGUAUUGACGCUGAGGUGCGAAAGCGUGGGGAGCAAACAGGAUUAGAUACCCUUGUAGUC
rnacentral:rRNA from 1 species